ACGGCGAGUGAACAGGGAAGAGCCCAGCACCGAAGCCUGUGGCCAUUUGGUCUCUAGGCAAUGUGGUGUUUAGGUCAGCUCGCGGAGACACUGUCCCACUCUAAGUCCAGCAAUGAGACUGGUAUCUGGACAUGGCCCAAAGAGGGUGAAAGGCCCGUGAGGGUGGGAACUCAGACAUGCCAGUGUCUCCCUGAGUAGACCUUGGAGUCGGGUUGUUUGUGAAUGCAGCCCAAAGUGGGUGGUAAACUCCAUCCAAGGCUAAAUACUAACACGAGUCCGAUAGCGAACAAGUACCGUGAGGGAAAGUUGAAAAGUACUUUGAAGAGAGAGUAAACAGUGCGUGAAACCGCUCAGAGGUAAACGGGUGGAGUUGAACUGCAAAGCUCCGAGAAUUUAACUGGUGAGUGUGGUAUACACUUGGAUAUAUUGGUUGGCCCUCAAAGUCUGCAGAAAACUGUGGAGGCUGUGCUAACGCGCGGCGUGCGUUGAAGCGCUUAUCAAGCGCUGUGCUCUUUGGGGGUACUUCGAACCUGCUUGCCAGUGCAUUUUCUCAGAGUGAUCACCACGACCGGCGCUGCUGUCUGUCUGCUGUGGUUAAACCGGGUGUGUAUCGUCCUUGUGGCUUUGCAUACUCGGGAUGGCAGGUAACCCGAUUGUGCUUGUCGCGAUUGGGUGUAAUCAGCUGACCAUAGUAGUACUGUACAGUGCGUCGGAGACGGCGGCUUGUGGUGCGUACAUGCGUGCAUGUUGAGUGGCGGCUUUGGGUCUGGUUAUACUGUAGCCUGUAAAAACAGGCCCUGUAAUGGCCCAGGGUUGUUCACUUGAUGGUUGCGUAUGGGGCACUUUAAUGGGCCUACAGUCUGUG
rnacentral:rRNA from 1 species